rnacentral:misc_RNA from 1 species
GCGGAGGAUCAUUGUCGAAACCUGCCCAGCAGAACGACCCGAGAACAUGUUUCAACGCUUGGGGGCGAAGGGUCCUAGGGCUCCUCGUCCCUUUUCUCGGGAGGCAAUCGUCUCGUGUGCUGCAUCUCGUUGCUCGCACUAGAUAGACCCUCUCGGGCGUACAAACGAACACCGGCGUGUAUUGCGCCAAGGAACUUGAAUGAAAGAGCGUUCCCCCGUCGUCCCGGAAACGGUGUGCGUGCGGUUGGUUACGUCAUCUUCAAUAUGUCUAAACGACUCUCGGCAACGGAUAUCUCGGCUCUCGCAUCGAUGAAGAACGUAGCGAAAUGCGAUACUUGGUGUGAAUUGCAGAAUCCCGUGAACCAUCKAGUCUUUGAACGCAAGUUGCGCCCGAAGCCAUUAGGCCGAGGGCACGCCUGCCUGGGCGUCACACGUCGUUGCCCCCCCAAACCCCCUCGGGAGUUGGGCGGGACGGAUGAUGGCCUCCCGUGUGCUCCGUCAUGCGGUUGGCAUAAAAAACAAGUCCUCGGCGACUAACGCCACGACAAUCGGUGGUUGUCAAACCUCUGUUGCCUAUCGUGUGCGCGUGUCGAACGAGGGCUCAACGAACCAUGCUGCAUUGAUUCGUCGAUGCUUCAACGCGACCC